UUCUUUUACAGGGGGAGAAUGUGAGAACCCGAAUAUACAAAUCAAGUACAAAAUUAAAUAAUAAUAAUUUCACAAUCUCAAAUAUUUUGAUGGUGAAUCCUAAAGUGCAAAUUAAUUAUUAUUGAAUGAUCAUUUAAUUAAGUUUAAACCUAAAAAAAAAAAUUAGAGAAGAGAGUGUGACUUGAACUCUAAACCACAAGGUUAAUAUGUAAGACUCUUACCAUUUGUGUUGCAUAUAACUUAUAUAUCUGUUUCGUAUAUUUAUUUAUAUAUUUGACCUACACAUGCUUUAGGUCUAUCCAACCACUAGUAUAAAAUAAAAUAAAUACAAACCCUGCUCUAUUGUUUGUUCACCACAUAGGGCAACAACACAGCAGCCACGAGAGAGACUUUGAGAGAA